rnacentral:rRNA from 1 species
AUUGAACGCUGGCGGCAUGCCUUACACAUGCAAGUCGAACGGCAGCACGGGUGCUUGCCCCUGGUGGCGAGUGGCGCACGGGUGAGUAAUACAUCGGAACAUGUCCUGUAGUGGGGGAUAGCCCGGCGAAAGCCGGAUUAAUACCGCAUACGAUCUACUGAUGACACCGGGGGCCCUUCGGGCCUCGCGCUUUAGGGUUGGCCGAUGGCUGAUUAGCUAGUUGGUGGGGUAAAGGCCUACCAAGGCGACGAUCAGUAGCUGGUCUGAGAGGACGACCAGCCACACUGGGACUGAGACACGGCCCAGACUCCUACGGGAGGCAGCAGUGGGGAAUUUUGGACAAUGGGCGAAAGCCUGAUCCAGCAAUGCCGCGUGUGUGAAGAAGGCCUUCGGGUUGUAAAGCACUGUUGUCAGGAAAGAAAACCUGGGCCCGAAUACGGGCGGGGGAUGACGGUACCGGAAGAAUAAGCAACGGCUAACUACGUG